rnacentral:rRNA from 1 species
GACGUAGGGCGCGAGCGUUGUCCGGAUUUAUUGGGCGUAAAGAGCUCGUAGGCGGCUUGUCGCGUCGAAUGUGAAAUUUUAGGGCUCAACCCUGACAUUGCAUUCGAUACGGGCAGGCUUGAGUUCGGUAGGGGAGACUGGAAUUCCUGGUGUAGCGGUGAAAUGCGCAGAUAUCAGGAGGAACACCGGUGGCGAAGGCGGGUCUCUGGGCCAUAACUGACGCUGAGGAGCGAAAGCGUGGGGAGCGAACAGG